AUCUUGGCUCACUGCAGCCUCUCCCUUUCAGGCUCAAGCAAUCCUCCCACCUCAGCCUCCCGAGUGGAGGGGGAGCCACUGCAGAUCUGGAGCAAAUCAGCACCAGCCACUCCAGAGCCUGACCUACAUAGGACUCAGAAAGCAUUGUCUAUUGUGAUUGAUUAUUCCUGUGUUCAGUCCCAAUGGCCUAUUGAUUGGGGGUUUCUCUCCAAAAGGCUGCAUGGCUUUUCUUCUCUAAGUGAAUCUCCUUUAUAACCCAUAUUUUAUGUCUAUAUACCAAACAUGCUAUCCAUAUUUAGUCAAUGUCCAGUUGCUUGCAUGUAAGGGCAAUAGAGUAAUCAGAAAACUCUUCCCAGAAAGCCCCCGAAGACAAAACUAGUACUGGUAGAAAACUGGGCAUGCAGCUCUAAGAAACUCUAUGGGAAGUGAGGCUGGGUGGGGCACAGCUGCCCCAGCCUGGCACCCAUAUGGAGCAUCAGCAAGGAAGUAGGAACUUUCUUUUCAUCAUGCAUCCUUCUUAUCACUUCUCAGUUUCAAAGGGAAAGAAAAUUUGGUAAUCUGCAUUUUGAGACAUUAAGAAAAUAAAAUAAUUAAUGGCUUCAUGGUUAUAUGGCAUUUUUCAGAGUAUUGUCAGAAAAUCAUUUCGAACUGAAAUUUUCAUUCAAAAAUAUUUAUUGAAUGCCGGCUAUGUGCUGAAGAUUCUUAAGAUACAUCAGUGAACAAAUCAAAGUUCCCUGCUUUCUUGGAGCUUGCAUUCCAGCGGGAGGAGAGGAUUUGGAGGAAGAAUGGGAUAGACAAUAAAUCACAAGACCUCCUGCCACAGAGCAUGGGACCUGAUAUAUCCAGGCAGGAGAACUGGGUACCAGGAGACACUGUACAUGAAGUUUCCAGAACCAGCCAUGUCCAUCUUACUAAUCAAGACUCUCUCUGUUAAAUCUGCAACUCAAAUGACUUUAAGGAAAAAUGGAUUUCAUUGAUUCACAUAACCAUCACUCAAGGACUAACUUUCAACAUAGUGAGAUCCUGAGGCUCAAAUAUUAUUACCCGGGUUCCAUGAACUGCUUCCUCUGACAUGAGAUCUAACAAGGCUAAAGACUAAAAUGCAGCUGUUUACAGCGUAAGUAGGAGGCCGUCCCGUGCAGUGCAAAAUCAACAGAGAGGAGACAGUCCUAUGCCUUCGAGAGACAGUCUGCUGAUACUGUCAUGAUGUCUAGUGACAGGCCAGAGAUCAAAACCCAACACCCUCAUUUACCUGACAGUGAUUUGGCCAAUCCCUUAACAUCUCUAAGAGCUUCAUUUUUCUACAAAAUUGAGACAAUAGUAUUUGUUUCAUAGUGUUACUGUCAGGGUUAAAUGUUAUACAUUAAGCAUUUAAUAUAUGCUGCUUGUUUAUCUAAAUAUUCAUGGUCAGGCACUAACUUCUUAUGUGACUCUGAGCAAUGCAUUCAUCUCUGUACCUGUUUCCUCAUCCAUAAAUUGGGAGUUGAACAAGGUGAGCCCUAAGUUUCGUUCCAACUUCAAUAUUCUAUAAUUCUUGCAACUUAUAUGGCCUCAGUUUUCUUAUCUUUAUAAUGGGCAUAAGAGUACCUACCUCACAGAAUUUUUGAGAGGAUAAAAUGAAUUAAGACAGGUAGAAAAUUCUUAGAACAGUGCCUGCCACAUUGGAAGUGCUUAAUAUGUAUUAGCUGUGAUGAUGCUGCUAAUGAUGAAGAUGAUAAUGACCCUAUUUGCAGAUAGUAUGGCAGCCAUAAAACAUUCAGUAUCAGAUUGAUUACAUUCUCUUAUUUUCUGAGUCAAUGCCAGAGCUACCAAGAUUUUAUUCUUUAAAGGUUCUUCAAGACUAAAUUCUUUUUACAUGAUAUGAUUAUUACACAUUGUAUGUCCGUAUCAGACCAGCCUGGCCAACAAGGUGAAACCCCAUCUCUAAAAAUACAAAAAUUAGCAGGGCAUGGUGGCACGCACCUGUAGUCCCAGCUACUCGGGAGGCUGAGGCAGGAGAAUCACUUGAACCCGGGAGGCAGAGAUUGCAGUGAGCUGAGAUCGUGCCACUGCACUCCAGCCUGGCAGAGUGAGACUCCAUCUUAAAAAAUAAAUAAAUAAAUAAAUAAAUAAAUCUCAUGUACUCCAUAGAUAUGGGGUACCUACUAUGUACUCACAAAAAUUAAUUUUUUUUUAGAAAAGCCUAAGCUCAUUUGCUUCUUAGUAAGAAUUAUGUUAAGAUUUCCCAGUGUAGAUACCCUAGGCUGCUAAUUUUUUUUCUUUUGUUAUCAGUAUCUUAAGAAAUUAAUUGGCCCGGGAGUGGUGGCUCAUGCCUGUAAUCCCUGCAGUUUGGAAGGCCAAGAUGGGAGGAUUGUUUGAGGCCAAGAGUUCAAAACCAGCCUGGGCAACAUAGUGAGAUACUAUCUGUAUAUAAAAUAAAAAAAUUAGUGAGGCAUGGUGUCAUAAGCCUGUGGUCCCAGCUACUUGG
ensembl:lncRNA HIVEP2-DT HIVEP2 divergent transcript